rnacentral:tRNA from 1 species
GCCAACGUGGUGUAGUGGUUUGAGUGCUGGACUAUGACUCUGGAGAUCAGGGUUCAACUCCCUGCUUGGUCA